UGUUCCCCCUUCCCCACCAAUGUGCUGCAGGAAAAUCCCAGCGAGGAAGAUGCCGCGAUCGUGGACAAGAUCCUGUCGUUUCGAGUGACCAAGAAAGAGGUCUAUCCUGGCCAAUACACGGAUAUCGAAGAGUUCUACGUUAAGUACAAGAACUAUUCCUACCUGCACUGUGAGUGGGCCUCUCUGCAGCAACUUGAAAAGGACAAACGCAUUCACCAAAAGAUCAAACGCUUCAAGGCCAAGUCGGCACAGAUCAGGCAUCUUUUCCACGAGGAUGAGGACCUCUUCAACCCAGACUACGUCGAGGUAGAUCGGCUACUGGAGGAAUCGCACAGUGUGGACAAGGACAACGGGGAGCCUGUGGUGUAUUACUUGGUGAAGUGGUGCUCACUGCCGUAUGAGGACAGCACCUGGGAGCUCAAGGAGGACGUCGAUGAAGCCAAGAUCGAGGAGUUUGAAAGGCUGCAAGCCAGGAAGCCCAAGCUUGGCCACGUGGUG